AGCAGCCGCGGUAAUUCCAGCUCCAAUAGCGUAUAUUAAAGUUGUUGCAGUUAAAAAGCUCGUAGUUGAAUUUCGGGGUUAGUACGGUGGUCGUGCCUUCGGUAUGUACUGUUGUUACUGGUUCCUACCUUCUGACGAACCGUCAUGUCAUUAAUUUGGUGUGGCGAGGAAUCAGGACUGUUACUUUGAAAAAUUAGAGUGUUUAAAGCAGGCUCGCGCUUGAAUACAUUAGCAUGGAAUAAUGAAAUAGGACGUUCGAUCCUAUUUUGUUGGUUUCUAGGAUUGACGUAAUGAUUAAUAGGGAUAGUUGGGGGCAUUAGUAUUCAAUUGUCAGAGGUGAAAUUCUUGGAUUUAUUGAAGACUAACUACUGCGAAAGCAUUUGCCAAGGAUGUUU
rnacentral:sRNA from 1 species